CAUGAUUGGGAAAACCAGGAUUGUUUAGAGGGUAGAUGCAGUCGCCCCAACUCCGACAAAUACAUGCGAAUUUACUUUCAAUGUAUUGGUAAGGCGAGAAACAACUAUUUGGUUGGAAACUUUAAUCUUGCUAAGAAAUUAAAGAACUGC
rnacentral:ncRNA from 1 species